rnacentral:tRNA from 1 species
GGGCCCAUAGCUCAGCGGUAGAGCAGUCGGCUCAUAACCGAUCGGUCCCUGGUUCGAACCCAGGUGGGCCCACCA